CCUAAUCUUGAGUAAUAAAAAUACUAAAAUAAACUUAUAUAUCUCUUCCUCCAGUCUUAUUGAACACACUAUAAAUAGCAAACAACUAGAGGACAACACUCAAAAGAGAAAACAACUCUCUUUCUCCAUCUCUAUCUCUUCCUCCAAAAUAAUCAAACCACCCCCUUUCUCUCCAUCUCUAUCACUUUCUCCUUAACUGUUCAACGAUAAUGUUUUAAAUAGUUCCAAGAAAGUAAGUCUCUAUCAGCUAUUUGAUCGAACAUCUGGUGUGCCAACUACAAUUCACCAAAAUACCUAUACAUUCCAAUCAAAACAUUAGCUACAAAUAGAUAUUAACUAACUCCCAAGUUUCAAAGCGUGAAAAUGAAAUAUUUGACCAUAUACACGAGAUCAAGUCUUAAAAUUAUAUUUCCGUUCUUUUCGUUUAUGAAAUCGUCGGUCUGUAGCUUAGUAUGGUAAUUACUGCAUUUUCCACCAUCAACAACACCAACUCGCUGCACUUCUUUCUGUUGCUCUCCCCACAGACGACUCUACUUUCGCCUCUUCUUUAGCAAUUGCCUCUGCCACCGCCACUGCCUCAACAACUAUGCCCGCAACCACAAAAGCAACCAACUCAGGUGAUGACGACUGGUCUCAACUUCCUACCAAUAACUCGCUCCACCGUGCGAUUCUCUUCCCUCCUAAUUCUCUUCUUGUCGCUCACUCUGCUUCUUUCCUUUCUCAGGGAUUCUCUUAACUCCUCUCCAAUACGUAUGCCUUUCUUUUCCGAUAAGUUAGUCAUUAUCUUUCCUUUUUCUAAAAAAAAAAAAUUUUAAGGCAGUAUUGAUAAUGUUUGUUGAACUGGAGCUAGGUUUUUAUCUGAUAAUUUUACAACUUUC
rnacentral:lncRNA from 1 species